rnacentral:rRNA from 1 species
GACGAACGCUGGCGGCGUGCUUAACACAUGCAAGUCGAACGGAAAGGCCCUGCUUGCAGGGUACUCGAGUGGCGAACGGGUGAGUAACACGUGCGUGAUCUGCCCUGCACUUCGGGAUAAGCCUGGGAAACUGGGUCUAAUACCGGAUAGGUGCCAUUUUUAGUGUGAUUGUUGGAAAGUUUUUUCGGUGUAGGAUGAGCUCGCGGCCUAUCAGCUUGUUGGUGGGGUAAUGGCCUACCAAGGCGGCGACGGGUAGCCGGCCUGAGAGGGUGGACGGCCACAUGGGGACUAGGGUUAGGCCCGGAAUCGUAAGGGAGGCAGCAGGGGGGAAUAUAGUACAAUGGGAGCAAGACUGAUGCAGCAAAGCCGCGUGGGGGAUGACGGCCUUCGGGAUGUAAAAUCCUUUCGAUAGGGACGAAGCUUUUUGUGACGGUACCUAGAUAAGAAGCACCGGCUAACUACGUG